GUAGGUGAACCUGCGGAAGGAUCAUUACAGAGUUCAUGCCCUCACGGGUAGAUCUCCCACCCUUGAAUAUAUUACCUUUGUUGCUUUGGCGGGCCGCUUCGUCCACCGGCUUUGGCUGGUGAGUGCCCGCCAGAGGACCUAAAAUUCUGAGUUACAGUGUCGUCUGAGUACUAUAUAAUAGUUAAAACUUUCAACAACGGAUCUC
rnacentral:misc_RNA from 1 species